rnacentral:lncRNA from 1 species
GCACAACUAGCUUUUAGUGUCACGUAACCCUGAAUGAGUUUCGUGUCCCUGGGUGACUGAAGAUGUAUCUCUAGAGUCCCCGGGGAUUUCUGGUGGCUGGUUCUGGCCUAUCUGACUUUGCACGAGGUGAGGAGCUGCUGUCAGCCCUCACCUGUACAGAAAAUCCCAAAGCAAUGCCAGAAGCAAAUAAGACUUUGCCUUUUGUGUGCCAACCUUCCUUGGAAGACUCAAGCUCCUGAACCAGUUAAACACAGCAGCACUAGGCUUAAGCACUUGUAAAACUUGUGCCUCAGAAACCAGAUGGCAUUAUAAGAAGAACCCAUGCUUAACACAAGCUGCAUGCUUUUGUCCCAGCCAAUUCAAUAGGGCUUUGUCCGGUAUUACUGAGCACGGGGGUAACUCUCCUCUCCGAGUACAAAUGAAAUGUAUUUGGCUCUCCCUCCAUUUUAUAAGGAGAUAACAGAACAAAGGAUUGCUGCAAUUUGAGGGCACGAACCCUCAUUUUCUCUCCAGUCCACCUAAAUAGAAAAGAAUUUCAUGUUGGCCUGUGAUCUUCCCUUCUGCAAGUCAAAGCCCUUUGAGUUCCUGCUGCAAGUAAUGGCAGUUUACUCGCAAUUUUUCAGCUGCAUAUGAUACCCCAAAUUGGCCCUCCUGAUGUAAUGAAAAGCAGCCCGCCAACACAGAGGUCCUUCCAAAGAAGCCAGGCUUUUGUAAGAGGAGAGAACGCGACUGUGGCUGCAGAACCAAAUACUGUUAUGCUGUGUGAAGAGAUCUCAGCAAAGGGACACGAGUUAAAGAGGAACGAUUACACUGUAAAAAGUCAUAAAACCUUCCAGGAUUAA